UGGGGAAUAUUGGACAAUGGGCGAAAGCCUGAUCCAGCGAUUCUGCGUGAAGGAUGAAGCCUUAUGGGGUGUAAACUUCUUUUCUGGGGGAAGACGAAUGACGGUACCUCAGGAAUAAGAGACGGCUAACUACGUGCCAGCAGCCGCGGUAAUACGUAGGUCUCAAGCGUUAUCCGGAAUUACUGGGCGUAAAGCGUCUGUAGCCGGAUAUAUAAGUCUGUCUUUAAAUAUCCCGAUUCAAUCGGGAAAA
rnacentral:rRNA from 1 species